UAAGGAAUAUUGGUCAAUGGACGGAAGUCUGAACCAGCCAUGCCGCGUGGAGGAUGAAGGUCCUCUGGAUUGUAAACUUCUUUUAUUUGGGAAGAAAUCACUUUUUUCUAAGAGUGUUGACGGUACCAAGUGAAUAAGCACCGGCUAACUCCGUGCCAGCAGCCGCGGUAAUACGGAGGGUGCAAGCGUUAUCCGGAUUCACUGGGUUUAAAGGGUGCGUAGGCGGAUAUGUAAGUCCGUGGUGAAAUCUCAAAGCUUAACUUUGAAACUGCCAUGGAUACUAUAUAUCUUGAAUGUUGUGGAGGUUUGCGGAAUAUGUCAUGUAGCGGUGAAAUGCUUAGAUAUGACAUAGAACACCGAUUGCGAAGGCAGCAGGCUACACAAAUAUUGACGCUGAGGCACGAAAGCGUGGGGAUCAAACAG
rnacentral:rRNA from 1 species